CAGUAGGGAAUCUUCGGCAAUGGACGAAAAGUCUGACCGAGCAACGCCGCGUGAGUGAAGAAGGUUUUCGGAUCGUAAAACUCUGUUGGUAGAGAAGAACGUUGGUGAGAGUGGAAAGCUCAUCAAGUGACGGUAACUACCCAGAAAGGGACGGCUAACUACGUGCCAG
rnacentral:rRNA from 1 species